rnacentral:rRNA from 1 species
UACGUAGGGGGCAAGCGUUGUCCGGAAUUACUGGGCGUAAAGAGCUCGUAGGUGGUUUGUCGCGUUGUUCGUGAAAACUCACAGCUCAACUGUGGGCGUGCGGGCGAUACGGGCAGACUAGAGUACUGCAGGGGAGACUGGAAUUCCGGGUGUAGCGGUGGAAUGCGUAGAGAUCCGGAAGAACACCGGUGGCGAAGGCGGUUAGCUGGGCAGUUGCUGACACUGGAGGCGCGACAGCGUGGGGAGCAACAGGAUA